GCCCUACGGGGUGCAGCAGGCGCGAAAACUUUACAAUGCUGGCAACAGCGAUAAGGGAACCUCGAGUGCCAGGUUACAAAUCUGGCUGUCGAGAUGCCUAAAAAGCAUUUCAUAGCAAGGGCCGGGCAAGACCGGUGCCAGCCGCCGCGGUAACACCGGCGGCUCGAGUGGUAACCGUUAUUAUUGGGUCUAAAGGGUCUGUAGCCGGCCGGAUAAGUCUCUUGAGAAAUCUGGCAGCUUAACUGUCAGGCUUUCAGGAGAUACUGUCUGGCUCGAGGCCGGGAGAGGUGAGAGGUACUUCAGGGGUAGGGGUGAAAUCUUGUAAUCCUUGAAGGACCACCAGUGGCGAAGGCGUCUCACCAGAACGGACCUGACGGCAAGGGACGAAAGCUAGGGGCACGAACCGGAUUAGAUACCCGGGUAGUCCUAGCCGUAAACGAUACUCGCUAGGUGUCGGCCACGGUGCGACCGUUGUCGGUGCCGUAGGGAAGCCGUGAAGCGAGCCACCUGGGAAGUACGGCCGCAAGGCUGAAACUUAAAGGAAUUGGCGGGGGAGCACCACAACGGGUGGAGCUUGCGGUUUAAUUGGAUUCAACGCCGGAAAUCUUA
rnacentral:rRNA from 1 species